rnacentral:rRNA from 1 species
AUGGCCAGCCUCAACAACGCUUCCUGGUCCAGCGGCCUCUGCGGCUGCUACGACGACGUCGGCGGCUGCUGCCUGACGUUCUUCUGCCCGUGCGUCGUCUUCGGGAGGAUCGCCGAGAUCGUCGACAUGGGCGCCACAUCUUGCUGUGCGAGCGGGACGGUGUACGCUGCCCUGGCGUCGGUGACGGGGAUGGGCUGCCUCUACUCGUGCGGCUACCGCUCCAGGCUGCGGGAGCAGUACCGGCUCAAGGAGACGCCCUGCGGCGACUGCUGCGUCCACUGGUUCUGCGAGGCCUGCGCCCUCUGCCAGGAGUACCGCGAGCUCAAGACCCGCGGCUUCGACAUGGCCCUCGGGUGGCAGGCCAACAUGGAGAAGAUGGGGAAGACCACGGCGCCGCAGACGCACGCGGGGAUGACUCGCUAG